AGAACUACAAGAACUUGGAGUAAUUAUCCGCACCCUGUUUAACAUCAACCUCAGCUGUCCACACAUCCAUCAGACAUCCAUCAGACACAAUACACUUCUUUCACCAAUAUAUUUGUGCUGUUUAAUCACUGAUUGAAUCUUUACACCAUCCUGAUAAAGUGGCAACAUGUGCAAACUCACUCUAACUGCAGGUCUCUGUUUGAUCAUCGCCAGCUUGGGUAAG